rnacentral:rRNA from 1 species
CAGCAGCCACGGUAAUACGUAGGUGGCAAGCGUUGUCCGGAAUUAUUGGGCGUAAAGCGAGCGCAGGCGGUCAAUUAAGUCUGAUGUGAAAGCCCCCGGCUCAACCGGGGAGGGUCAUUGGAAACUGGUUGACUUGAGUGCAGAAGAGGAGAGUGGAAUUCCAUGUGUAGCGGUGAAAUGCGUAGAUAUAUGGAGGAACACCAGUGGCGAAGGCGACUCUCUGGUCUGUAACUGACGCUGAGGCUCGAAAGCGUGGGUAGCAAACAGGAUUAGAUACCCCUGUAGUCCCUGUCUCUUAUAC